rnacentral:rRNA from 1 species
ACUCCUACGGGAGGCAGCAGUGAGGAAUAUUGGUCAAUGGAGGCAACUCUGAACCAGCCAUGCCGCGUGCAGGAAGACUGCCCUAUGGGUUGUAAACUGCUUUUAUACGGGAAGAAACAGUCCUACGUGUAGGACCUUGACGGUACCGUAAGAAUAAGCACCGGCUAACUCCGUGCCAGCAGCCGCGGUAAUACGGAGGGUGCAAGCGUUAUCCGGAAUCAUUGGGUUUAAAGGGUCCGCAGGCGGUCAAUUAAGUCAGAGGUGAAAUCCCACAGCUUAACUGUGGAACUGCCUUUGAUACUGGUUGACUUGAGUUAUACGGAAGUAGAUAGAAUGUGUAGUGUAGCGGUGAAAUGCAUAGAUAUUACACAGAAUACCGAUUGCGAAGGCAGUCUACUACGUAUAUACUGACGCUCAUGGACGAAAGCGUGGGAGCGAACAGGAUUAGAUACCCCUGGUAGGAUAGCG